GUUCCAGUGGCGCAAUCGGUAGCGCGCGGUACUUAUAGGGCGGUGCUCGUGCGGGGGAUGCCGAGGUUGUGAGUUCGAGCCUCACCUGGAACA
rfam:Oryctolagus cuniculus unplaced genomic scaffold chrTn0049, whole genome shotgun sequence.